rnacentral:rRNA from 1 species
GUGGGGAAUAUUGGACAAUGGGCGAAAGCCUGAUCCAGCCAUGCCGCGUGUGUGAAGAAGGUCUUCGGAUUGUAAAGCACUUUAAGUUGGGAGGAAGGGCAGUAAGUUAAUACCUUGCUGUUUUGACGUUACCGACAGAAUAAGCACCGGCUAACUUCGUGCCAGCAGCCGCGGUAAUACGACGGGUGCAAGCGUUAAUCGGAAUUACUGGGCGUAAAGCGCGCGUAGGGGGUUUUGUAAGUUGGAGGUGAAAUCCCCGGGCUCAACCUGGGAACUGCCUCUAAAACUGGAUGACUAGAGUACGGUAGAGGGUAGUGGAAUUUCCUGUGUAGCGGUGAAAUGCGUAGAUAUAGGAAGGAACACCAGUGGCGAAGGCGACUACCUGGACUGAUACUGACACUGAGGUGCGAAAGCGUGGGGAGCAAACAGGAUUAGAAACCCGAGUAGUCC